CUAUCUACCGGAGUGUGUUCUACCUACUUUUUCUCGAGACUUGCACUCGUCGUCAGUGUUCAAAUCUCGAACGAGCCCUAAGAAUUUGUCAUGAAUGCAUCAUCAGCCAUGAUCGACGUGUGAACAAUCACUCGGUAGUAAUUAACUAUUUACGUCAUUAAACGUAACAAAGCUCGUCUGACCGAACCUAGUAAAGCAAAUGCAAAUGCAAAUAGGCGCGAAUGCUCUUCAUUCGAUUUCCUUCAGCAGGAUUUGCCGUAGAGACGUAACAAUAAUUUAGUGUAAAUAAUGUGAUCUAUGUGAUUUUUUACGACUUAUUACGAGUGUUACGGAUCUUAAGUUUUAAGAACUCGAUAACCGAUUACGUCAAUGUUCGUAACAUAUUUAAGUAGGCGACCGAAGAUUUGAUAAUCUGUCAUGAAUGAAAGAAUAAAGGUAACAUUUCUUUUUCUAAUUCACAUUUUUAGUACAUACUUACGUCGCUGAAACUACUCAAAGAAAGCUCCAUGAAAUUUCCGGCCGUUAAUUUCGUUGUUGCUCUCGACAUGGC